rnacentral:rRNA from 1 species
GACGAACGCUGGCGGCGUGCUUAACACAUGCAAGUCGUACGGUAAGGCCCUUUCGGGGGUCCACGAGUGGCGAACGGGUGAGUAACACGUGAGUAACCUGCCCACAACUUUGGGAUAACGCUAGGAAACUGGUGCUAAUACUGGAUAUGUGCUCCUGCUGCAUGGUGGGGGUUGGAAAGCUCCGGCGGUUGUGGAUGGACUCGCGGCCUAUCAGCUUGUUGGUGGGGUAGUGGCCUACCAAGGCGGCGACGGGUAGCCGGCCGGAGAGGGUGACCGGCCACAUUGGGACCGAGAUACGGCCCAGACUCCUACGGGAGGCAGCAGUGGGGAAUAUUGCACAAUGGGCGCAAGCCUGAUGCAGCAACGCCGCGUGCGGGAUGACGGCCUUCGGGUUGUAAACCGCUUUCAGCAGGGACGAAGCUUUUUGUGACGGUACCUGCAGAAGAAGCACCGGCUAACUACGUG